UACAGAGGGUGCGAGCGUUGUUUGGAAUUAUUGGGCGUAAAGCGCGUGUAGGCGGCCAACUAAGUCGGGUGUGAAAGCCCUCAGCUCAACUGAGGAAGUGCGCCCGAGACUGGAUGGCUUGAGUGCUGGAGAGGGUGGCGGAAUUCCCCAAGUAGAGGUGAAAUUCGUAGAGAUGGGGAGGAACACCGGAGGCGAAGGCGGCCACCUGGACGGUAACUGACGCUGAGACGCGAAAGCGUGGGGAGCAAACAGG
rnacentral:rRNA from 1 species